AUUACUUCUUGGCCUUUGGGCUACGAUCAACUAUAGAAUCUAUUCUUUUCAUCUUAAUAUCUGAUACAUUCUCUAUCCAAGGAUAAUAUAUUAUGUAGAUUUCUGGAGAUGGAACAGGAGUUUGGUCUGUCUACACAAUUGCAUUGUUCUAGUAUUGCAACAACCCCAGGGGUGGCACACACACA
ensembl:snRNA U2 U2 spliceosomal RNA